UGACCAGACUCCUACGGGAGGCAGCAGUGGGGAAUAUUGGGCAAUGGACGCAAGUCUGACCCAGCAACGCCGCGUGAAGGAAGAAGGCUUUCGGGUUGUAAACUUCUUUUAUCAGGGACGAAGCAAGUGACGGUACCUGAUGAAUAAGCCACGGCUAACUACGUGCCAGCAGCCGCGGUAAUACGUAGGUGGCAAGCGUUAUCCGGAUUUACUGGGUGUAAAGGGCGUGUAGGCGGGAAAGCAAGUCAGAUGUGAAAACCAUGGGCUCAACCUGUGGCCUGCAUUUGAAACUGUUUUUCUUGAGUGCUGGAGAGGCAAUCGGAAUUCCGUGCGUAGCGGUGAAAUGCGUAGAUAUACGGAGGAACACCAGUGGCGAAGGCGGAUUGCUGGACAGUAACUGACGCUGAGGCGCGAAAGCGUGGGGAGCAAACAGGAUUAGAUACCCCCGUA
rnacentral:rRNA from 1 species